rnacentral:misc_RNA from 1 species
AAACUGCGAUAAUUAGUGUGAACUGCAGAAACCUUGAACACAAAAGCUUCGAAUGCACAUUGCGCCAUUGGAAUCUUAUCCUUUGGCACGCCUGGUUCAGGGUCGUAAUACGAAAACGCAAUCCGUUUGCGUGUGCUUAAUGUGGGUGAUCACAUGGCUGCGGCGCUGCAUACUUGUCUGUUGUGUGCACGGCGUAUGGCGUGUGUUCGCUCAUAAUGUUGGUCUUGUGUCGUGCCGGUAGUAACGGAGCCUCAGGUGUGAGGGGUCAUGUACGUUGUUUGUUCAACCGACUCCCGCCGUGUGGGCUAGUGGCCGCUUGUCUGUUAAUGCGUGCUGCUUGUCUGUUCCGUCUACGCACUGGUGCACCUUGUCCAUUCUUUUUACAUUUUCGACCUGAACUCAGACGUGAAUACCCGCUGAACUUAAGCAU